GGGGCUGGAGAGAGGAGCUAGGGGAAUGAUGUAAUACUUUAAUUAAAAAAAUAGAUAUCUUUUAACUAGUGGAAAAUAGGAUUAUGUGUGCAUGGUAGUGCCCUCAUAUUAAGUGUUCACAGGAAGACCAGAAACAAUGUGUCACAAUGUCCUUGCUGAACAAGAAAUGAGCGAUAAUGCUUCCUCCUUUUCCUCCUCCUCCCCUUCCUCUUCUUCCUCUGCUCGCUCAUUCUUCUUUUUCUCAGUCCGGACAUUUUUUUGGUAUCUGUUUUUAACUGCCGAGGAGAAAUGCAGGCUUGAGGCCUAAGGGAAAACAGUCUCAUAAAAUCCUGAGAGGAUGUGGGGCGGGGUCUUCUGCACCGAGUUUGCUUGCUCAGCGCGGCGAUUGUGCUUCCCCUUUCUUUAAUUGUGAUGCUUUCUGUGGAAAUGGAUGCUGCAGUUCUUCAGAGCACCACGUACUCCCUGUCUGCCUGGCCCCUCGACACAGCUGUUAUCUGCCAGACCCAGUAAGAGUACCGAAAGGGGCUGAAGUGAUGGCUUGCUGCUUAGGAACAUGGGCUGGUCUUCCUUGGGAACCGGGCUCCAUCCACAUCCUCUGUGACAUCAGUCCCAGUGGAUCCAUCUCACUCAGGAGACCAUGACAGUCUGGAUCAGGUGUGGAGAGCUGUGCCAUCUGUGGUCCAGAGACCUAAGAACUAUCCCUGGCAUCUCUGCAAUGUCCUCCAGAGCAAGACAGAUACCCACACUGGAGCACCAGACUGAGCUCCCAAGGUCCCAAUGAGGAGCAGAAGGAGGGAGAACAUGAGCAAGGAAGUCAGGACCACGAGGGGUGCACCCAUCCACGGAGACAGUGGGGCUGAUCUAUUGGGAGCUCAUAAAGGCCAGCUGGUCUAUGACUGAAAAAGCAAGGGAUAAAACCGGACUCUCUGAACAUGGCGGACAAUGAGGACUGAUGAGAAGCCAAGGACAAUGGCACGGGGUUUUGGUCCUACUUCAUGUUCUGGCUUUGUGGGAGCCUAACCAAUUUGGAUGUUCACCUUCCUAGACCUGGAUGGAGGGGGGACGACCUUGGAUUUUCCACGGGGCAGGGAACCCUGACUGCUAUUUGGACUGUAGAGGGAG